GUGGGGAAUAUUGGACAAUGGGCGAAAGCCUGAUCCAGCAAUGCCGCGUGAGUGAUGAAGGCCCUAGGGUUGUAAAGCUCUUUUACCAGGGAUGAUAAUGACAGUACCUGGAGAAUAAGCUCCGGCUAACUCCGUGCCAGCAGCCGCGGUAAUACGGAGGGAGCUAGCGUUGUUCGGAAUUACUGGGCGUAAAGCGCGCGUAGGCGGUUUUUUAAGUCAGAGGUGAAAGCCCGGGGCUCAACCCCGGAAUUGCCUUUGAAACUGGAAAACUUGAAUCUUGGAGAGGUCAGUGGAAUUCCGAGUGUAGAGGUGAAAUUCGUAGAUAUUCGGAAGAACACCAGUGGCGAAGGCGACUGACUGGACAAGUAUUGACGCUGAGGUGCGAAAGCGUGGGGAGCAAACAGGAUUAGAAACCCUGGUAGUCC
rnacentral:rRNA from 1 species